rnacentral:SRP_RNA from 1 species
GCCAGGCUCAGUGGUGUGUGCCUGUAGUCCCAGCUACUCGGGAGGCUGAGGUGGGAGGAUCGCUUGAGCCCAGGAAUUCUGGGCUGUAGUGUGCUAUGCUGAUCGGGUGUCCGCACUAAGUUCAGCAUCAAUAUGGUGACUUCCCGGGAGUGGGGGACCACCAGGUUGCCUAAGGAAGGGUGAACCCGCCCAGGUCGAAAACGGAGCAAGUCAAAACUCCCAUGCUUAUCAGUAGUGGGAUCGCGCCUGUGAAUAGCCACUGCACUUCAGCCUGGGCAACACAGCGAGACCCCGUCUCU